rnacentral:lncRNA from 1 species
CUUCGCAGUCCUCUCACCUCCAUACCCCGGAUUUGGAGGAGAUGGACAAACCAUGUGGGUGCCCUCCAGGUGUGUGCGACCAUGAAAUGGGAGACUAGCAGGACCCACGUUGGCCAACCGUGGACCUGGUCCCUCCAGUAGGAGUCGUGAGCCAGCUGAAUUUGAAUGCAAAGAUGGAGCAAGGGCCGACUGGAGUCACACUGACAUCCACCCCCAUAACAUGGGGACAGAUCAAGAAAACAAAGCAGGAAGCUGAGAAAAUGCUGGAGCAUCCAUGUGCUUGGCCAUGUUAGCAGUAGUGUCCUGUGAGGAUUGAUUUCCAAAAACUCCUGUUACAUGAGGAAGACACCAAGAAGAGCAAAGAAAAGGAGCCAGGGUGGCUCUUCCUCAGCUAUCUCUUCCAAAUGCAUGACAAGGAAGUUCUCAUCAAGAAGGCAAGGCAAUACAGAAGUGUUCCACACAGGGACAUUGCAAAGACAAGCAAGUCAUCACACUGGAGAUUUUUCCUUCCAGGAAAUUGAGAAAGAUUUUCAGGACUUUGAGUUUCAGUGGCAAGAAGAUGAAAGAAAUGGCCAUGAAGCACUCAUGACAGAGAUAAAAAAGUUGACAGGUAAUACAGACUGAUAUGAUCAAAGGCAUGCUGGAAACAAACCUAUUAAAGAUCAGCUUGGAUCAAGCUUUCAUUCACAUCUGCCUGAACUGCAUAUAUUGCAGAGCAAAGGGAAAAUUGAUAGUCAAGAUGAGAAGUCUGUCAAUGAUGCUUCCUCAGUUUCAGCAUCCCAAAGAAUUUCUUGUAUUCCUAAAACCCAUAUUUCUAAUAAGUAUGGGAAUAAUUUCCUCCAGGAAGCACACAUGAGAGAAAAAUCUUUCCAAUGUAAUGAGAGUGGCAAAGCCUUUAAUUGUAGCUCACUGUUAAAAAAAUGUCAGAUAAUCCAUUUAGGAGAGAAAAAAUAUAAAUGUGAUAUAUGUGGCAAGGUCUUUAAUCAGAAGCGAUACCUUGCAUACCAUCAUAGAUGUCACACUGGUGAGAAACCUUACAAGUGUAAUCAGUGUGGCAAGACCUUCAGUUACAAGUCAUCCCUUGUAAUUCACAAGGCAAUUCAUACUGGAGAGAAACCUCACAAGUGUAAUGAAUGUGGCAAGGUUUUUAAUCAAAAAGCAUAUCUUGCAAGUCAUCAUAGACUUCAUACUGGAGAGAAACCUUACAAAUGUGAAGAAUGUGACAAAGUUUUUAGUCGCUAAUCACACCUUGAAAGACAUAGGAGAAUUCAUACUGGAGAGAAACCGUACAAAUGUAAGGUUUGUGACAAGGCUUUCAGACGUGAUUCACACCUGGCACAACAUAUUGUAAUUCACACUGGAGAGAAACCUUACAAGUGUAAUGAGUGUGGCAAGACCUUUGUUCAAAAUUCAUCUCUUGUAAUGCAUAAGGUCAUUCAUACUGGAGAGAAAUGUUACAAGUGUAAUGAAUGUGGCAAGGUUUUUAAUCACAAAUCAAACCUUGCAUGUCAUCAUAGACUUCAUACUGGAGAGAAACCUUACAAGUGUAAUGAAUGUGGCAAGGUUUUUAAUUGAAAAUCAAACCUUGAACAUCAUCAUAGAGUUCAUAUCGGAGAAAAACCUUACAAAUGUGAAGAAUGUGACAAAGUUUUCAAUUUCAAUUCACGCCUUGAAAUACAUAGGAGAGUUCAUACUGGAGAGAAACCAUAGAAAUGUAAGGUUUGUGACAAGGCAUUCGGGUGUGAUUCACACCUGGCACAACAUACUAGAAUUCACACUGGAGAGAAACCGUGCAAGUGUGAUGAGUGUGACAGAGCCUUCAGUGGUCAGUCAACACUUAUUCACCAUCAAGCAAUCCAUGUCAUAGGGAAACUUUACUAAUGUAAUGAUUGUCACAAAGUCCUCAGUAAUGCUACAACCAUUGCAAAUUAUUGGAGAAUGCAUAAUGAAGUGAGAACUUACAAGUGUUAUAAAUGUGGCAAAUUUUUCAGACUUCGUUCAUACCUUGCAGUUUAUCAGCGAACUCAUACUGGAGAGAAACCUUACAAAUGUGAUGAUUGUGGCAAGGUCUUCAGUCAAGCUUCAUCUUAUGCAAAACACAGGUGAAUUCAUACAAGAAAGAAACCUCACAAGGGUGAUGAUUGUGUCAAAGCCUUUAUUUCAGGUUCAUGCCUCAUUACACAUCAGAGAAUCCAUACUAGACAGAGAUCUUACAAAAGUCAUAUGUGUGGCAAGAUCUUUAGUCUGAGGUCACUCCUUGCAGGACAUCAGGAAAUUCAUUUUUGAGGUAAUAAUUUCAAAUGCAAUGAGUAUAGCAAACCAUCAAGCACAAUUGAUGUUAGAUUCAAAUCAGCAUUGAGUUCAGUUUGAGUUGACUUAACAUUGAGUUCAAGUAUUUGUUGAGAUUAAAGUGUUUAUGUUAAGAGGAUUAGGCCAGGUGCGGUGGCUCACACCUGUAAUCCCAGCACUUUGGGAGGCCAAGACAGGUAGAUCACUUGAGAUCAGGAGUUUGAGAGCAGCCUGGCCAACAGAGGUGAGCACCUUUCCCAGUCUGUUUUUUGUUUCUUCAACAAAAACUGAUAGAGAUUUUUAUGGGUAUUGUGUUGAAUCAAAAUCACAUUGGGUUAUGUAAUCAUUUAACAGUAUUAAUUUUUC